GUGUAGUCAUAUUAGGAUGACAUUGAAUUGCAAAUUCAAAGGAGGGCAGGGCCCUAUAAUCU
rnacentral:tRNA from 1 species